GGAGGGUACAGCUCAGUGGUAGAGCGCAUGCUUAGCACGCACGAGGUCCUGGGUUCAAUCCCCAGCACCUCCA
rnacentral:tRNA from 1 species